UAUUGUUCACAUUUUUAGGGUUUUUCAAAAACUUGAUUUUUGUGUGUUUCUAGUGUUAGAUCCUUGUUCCCUAACACUAUUAGAGUCUAGAAAUUGAAAAUUUCAAUAGAAAAGAAGUGUCAAAAUCGAAAAUCGCCCCAAAAAUACUAAACCCGUUUUUAAACCUAGGUCAAAUUUUGAGUUUUUGAUUUUGUAUUUUUCUUGUGGUUUUAGUGUUAGAUUUGUGUUCUCUAACACUAUAGGAGUAUAGGAUUCGAAUUUUACCUAAAUUGGAGGUUAUUUGAGCCAUCCACCAUUGUUGAGCUUGAGUUUGAAGAAACUUGAAGGUGGGAUCUCAUUGUGGGAGGUUGUUUUGAACUCACGUGUGUUUUGUUUUGUAGGAUUUGUAUUAUAUUGUUGUGUGUGACAUUGUGGAAUGAUUGGGUGUCUUGAUUGGACUGUAACUUAAAGGGUUAAUUUUCGGUACCACCACAAUGGAACCCGAGGCGUCAAAUGCUCAUUCAAUGGACAAUAAUACUAUCAAUCUCAUUUUGGCUCGCCUUGAAAUUAUGUCCCGAGAUGUGGCUAGGUUGAAUGUGGGUCUUGAAAAAUUAGAUACGGAUGUGGCAUCAAUAGGUGGGAGAUUAGAAUGUAUGGAAAGACAAAGGAGCCGAUCGUCCACCCCUGAAAACAUUUCCCCAACUAAUAUUCCCGAGACCUUGCACCAAAUGCUAUAUCCACCAAUUGCCACAAAUCAAACCAAUCUUUACUCCUAAAGUUGAGAAAAAGAUAGACCAAGCCAUCCCCCUCUCCACCAAGUCCAACAAGAAGGGCUUGGAACCCAAAUACCACCACCAAACCUGAACCCUCUCAUCCAAACUCUACUUGAUCAAAGACCUCACUAUCCAAAUCCAAUCCCGCCACUACAAGCUCCAGUUAAGCCAAAUAGACCCAUCUAUGUUGAGGGAUAUGUUAGGGGAGGACAACAUGGUGGUUAUGAGCCGUAUGAUGAUGUUUACUUAAAGGAAGAAAGAAUGAGAGGUAGACAUGGGGAUUUAGCCCUAGAGGUGAGAGAUGGCCACCCAAAUCGAGAUGUAGGUCUCAAUUUCAUCAAAGCGAGCCUUCCCAUUUUCAAAGGUGAGAGUGAUCCCUAAUCUUACCUUGCAUGGGAGUCGUCUUAUGACAAGAUCUUCCAUCUUAAUGAUCUCACCGAAGAAAAGAAAAGUUGCUAUGCUAUAGCUCACUUCGAAGGGUAUGCUAAUACAUGGUGGGAGUAUCUUAAAAGGUUUGGGAAUGAGAUGAUUGGGGGACAACCUCCUCCUUGGUUUCAGUUGAAGAACCUUAUGCGGCAAAGGUACUUGCCCGAGACUUAUAGGCAUGAGCUCCUUGCCAAAUAGUACAAUUAAAGGCAAUGGAGCAAGAGUAUCAUGGCUUACUACAAUGAAUUUCUACAAUUGAUGUUGAAACUUGACCACCUAGGCGAGCAAGUAAGUCAUGACAUUGUGCGCUUCAAGGUUGGGUUAAACAAGGACAUCUCCACUCGCAUGACGCUUCACAAAUUCGACACCAUAGAUGGCAUCUUCUAUGCGGCUUUAGAGUUUGAGAGGAAGCUCAAAGAGAACUCAUUCAUGGCUGCCCAACCCGAGGCCACUAAGGCUGUCCAAAAACAUCCUCUAAGGUAUAAAGGUAAAAAAGAAUUCUACUUCCAAUCCCAAGGGGUUUCAAUGCUUCAAGUGUCAGGGGCACAAAGCUAGUGAGUGCCCAAACCGGAGGAAUAUAAUCCUAAGGGAGGGUAGAUUGUACUAUCUUAGAGAAAAGGUGGGCAUCGAAUUGAUAAAGAAUGGUGGAAAACUGCAAGAUGGAGAACAAAAAGAAGUCGAGGUACAAAAUGAAGAAUAUGUAGAAGAUGUGUGGCCGCAAGAAGGAGAUUGUGAAGUGCCUUUGUAAAAGAGGUGAGCCCGUGAAUUUGUGGUCAAAUUCCUCUCAAGAUGGAGAGGAUGAUACAAGUAUGAUCAUGAUCAUGACACUUUUGAGUAUUUUUGAAGAUUAGUCACUAAAGGGCUCUUUUGUCAUUUAUUUAUAAUGUUGUAUAAAUAGAACUUUGUAGGGUUUAUUUUCUUAGUUUAUGUUUGUUAUUGAAAGAACACUUCUCUUAGAUAAAGAGAGAGUCCUAAACCGAAACUAGGUCAUAGCACAAGGGUGGAAUCAUUUGUGUGUUGCAUUUGCUUGAUACGUUGGUGCUUGGGGGGUGGAAGCCUCUCUUGUGUCAUUGUAAGAGAUAGGUGAUUGUAGUGUGUGGUGUUAAGGGUCCAAUAAUAUCACAAGUUCUUGGGUUCUUAAGAUUAUACCUUCAUUUGUCUAUCUUCCUAUCUUUACUUCCUUGUAUUUGUUUGUUUUUAUUCCAGUAUAAUCCGUUUGUGUUCUUGUCAUUCUUACCAUGUGUUGUUGUUAUUAUUAUCUUAUUCUUCAUCUUGUUGUGUUAAUCUAGUUUUGGUUGGCUGCCUUGGUGUGAUAAACACCCCGUAAUCUCUUUAUUCUUGUCUAGUUAGUGAAUCGAGAGUGGUCACCAAAGAGGUCCUCAGUUUCUAAGACUUGUGGACUGUUUUGGUGUACGUUUUAGUGUCUUCUUGGUCUUUCUUGUAUCAUACACUGACUAUGCUUUGAAUAUGAAAUUGAUCAAUCAAGAUGAUUACAAUAAUAUAAACAAAUUAUAUCCACAAUGUCAAAAAGACAUUAAGCUUUGUGCAAAUGGUAGUGAAGAUGCUUAUUUGACCGGAUUUAGAGAUUGCAUAAGCAUUUUCAACAAUUUACUGGAUAUUGCAGGCGAUAUAAAUGUAAGAGGGCGGAACUUCUUUCAUUGUUUUCUAAUGAUUCAACGGUGUCAUAUAACUACAACAAUCAAAUGUUUUUUGGUGACUUUUUACCUGCAGUACUAUGAUAUAUAAAAGACUUGUCAGGGACCACUCUACUAUGACUUCUCGAGAAUGGAUACUAACCUCAACGACAACCAAGUUAAGAAAGCCCUUGGUGUUCCCAGUGUUAUUGAUUUCGUCUCAUGUAGUUCUUCAGUUUAUCAGGCGAUGGAGACGGACUGGAUGAAGAAUUUUGAAGUCCCUAUUCCUCCGCUUCUUGAAGACGGUAUCAAUCUACUCAUUUACGCUGGAGAAUAUGACCUUAUCUGCAACUGGCUCGGUAAGCUUCAUCCACCUAUAACAGAAGAGAAUUCUUAUAAUAUAGACAAUGCCAAUCUACGACUAAACUGAUGUUUUUUUAAAUGGACCAGAACCGGGAACUCAAAUUGGGUGCAUGCUGUAGAAUGAUCUGGGAAGAAAGGCUUUGGUGCUGCACCAUCUGUUCCUUUCACAGUAGACGGUGAGGAGAAAGGUGUUAAAAAGAGCUAUGGACCUCUAACUUUCCUCAAGGUCCAUGAUGCAGGUCAUAUGGUGCCGAUGGACCACCCUAAGGCCGCACUCGAAAUGCUUCAGAGGUGGACUCAAGGCGAAUUGUCCUAGGCCGGUCAUCAGGAACCAUACAUACCGAACAGAUUUACAAUUUUCCUGCUUAUAAUCUCAGGAAAACAUAGAAAAUCAUGUAGAUACAUUUCACCGUUUCUGGUGAAUGUUAUUCUUCAAAGAUAAUGGAUCAAGUGUUACAACAUAUAGUGAAGCACAGUGUUUACUCUUA